rnacentral:rRNA from 1 species
AUGAACAUCUUGGCCUGGAACUGUCGAGGACUGGGGUUGGACUCAACAGUGGGCGAACUACGGGACCUGAUUAGGUCCUACAACCCAGCGGUGGUGUUCUUAAGCGAGACUAAGAAGAAGGUGAGGGCUAUGGAGAAGUUGAAGUGGAGUUUGGGUUUCCGAAGCGGUGUGGCUGUGGACUGUCAGUUUGGGAGGGUAAAACCUGUAGGAUCACUGGAUUCUAUGGUGAACCCAAUGUUGAGCAUAGGAAGAAAUCAUGGGAUGCCCUCCGAUACCUGA